GGGCUCAACCUGGGAACUGCAUCUGAUACUGGCAAGCUUGAGUCUCGUAGAGGGGGGUAGAAUUCCAGGUGUAGCGGUGAAAUGCGUAGAGAUCUGGAGGAAUACCGGUGGCGAAGGCGGCCCCCUGGACGAAGACUGACGCUCAGGUGCGAAAGCGUGGGGAGCAAACAGGAUUAGAUACCCUGGUAGUCCACGCCGUAAACGAUGUCGACUUGGAGGUUGUGCCCUUGAGGCGUGGCUUCCGGAGCUAACGCGUUAAGUCGACCGCCUGGGGAGUACGGCCGCAAGGUUAAAACUCAAAUGAAUUGACGGGGGCCCGCACAAGCGGUGGAGCAUGUGGUUUAAUUCGAUGCAACGCGAAGAACC
rnacentral:rRNA from 1 species